GCUGGCGGCAGGCCUAACACAUGCAAGUCGAGCGGUAGAGAGAAGCUUGCUUCUCUUGAGAGCGGCAGACGGGUGAGUAAUGCCUAGGAAUCUGCCUGGUAGUGGGGGAUAACGUUCGGAAACGGACGCUAAUACCGCAUACGUCCUACGGGAGAAAGCAGGGGACCUUCGGGCCUUGCGCUAUCAGAUGAGCCUAGGUCGGAUUAGCUAGUUGGUGAGGUAAUGGCUCACCAAGGCGACGAUCCGUAACUGGUCUGAGAGGAUGAUCAGUCACACUGGAACUGAGACACGGUCCAGACUCCUACGGGAGGCAGCAGUGGGGAAUAUUGGACAAUGGGCGAAAGCCUGAUCCAGCCAUGCCGCGUGUGUGAAGAAGGUCUUCGGAUUGUAAAGCACUUUAAGUUGGGAGGAAGGGUUGUAGAUUAAUACUCUGCAAUUUUGACGUUACCGACAGAAUAAGCACCGGCUAACUCUGUGCCAGCAGCCGCGGUAAUACAGAGGGUGCAAGCGUUAAUCGGAAUUACUGGGCGUAAAGCGCGCGUAGGUGGUUUGUUAAGCUGGAUGUGAAAUCCCCGGGCUCAACCUGGGAACUGCAUUCAAAACUGACUGACUAGAGUAUGGUAGAGGGUGGUGGAAUUUCCUGUGUAGCGGUGAAAUGCGUAGAUAUAGGAAGGAACACCAGUGGCGAAGGCGACCACCUGGACUAAUACUGACACUGAGGUGCGAAAGC
rnacentral:rRNA from 1 species